GUAACGCGUGGGUAACCUGCCUCAUACAGGGGGAUAACAGUUGGAAACGGCUGCUAAUACCGCAUAAGCGCACAGUACCGCAUGGUACGGUGUGAAAAACUCCGGUGGUAUGAGAUGGACCCGCGUCUGAUUAGGUAGUUGGUGGGGUAACGGCCUACCAAGCCGACGAUCAGUAGCCGACCUGAGAGGGUGACCGGCCACAUUGGGACUGAGACACGGCCCAAACUCNUACGGGAGGCAGCAGUGGGGAAUAUUGCACAAUGGGGGAAACCCUGAUGCAGCGACGCCGCGUGAGCGAUGAAGUAUUUCGGUAUGUAAAGCUCUAUCAGCAGGGAAGAAAAUGACGGUACCUGACUAAGAAGCCCCGGCUAACUACGUGCCAGCAGCCGCGGUAAUACGUAGGGGGCAAGCGUUAUCCGGAUUUACUGGGUGUAAAGGGAGCGUAGACGGCAUGGCAAGCCAGAUGUGAAAGCCCGGGGCUCAACCCCGGGACUGCAUUUGGAACUGUCAGGCUAGAGUGUCGGAGAGGAAAGCGGAA
rnacentral:rRNA from 1 species